CCAGACAAGGAAAUUCCAUAAGGCUAUGUGCUGCAAAGUUUGAUACUAAUAUAAUUGUUACACCAGCUCUCUUACAGAACUCAACAAUAGCAGAGUGUACACACUAUAAGCAAAAGAAGUUGUCAGAAUUAAGGCUGUGUCACUUCCUGUAUAAGAAUGUCGGCCCAGAACCUUCACCUGACCCUCUGCCUGGCUUUCUGCUAUUGGUUCAAAACAACAAACCACUCCUCACACAAUGGGAAUUCUGAGGCCAUUUGAUAACAUGAGGGAAGCCCUCAACUCAUCAUUCAUGGAGGACUCCUGACUCUGGCCAAACACCCAUUGACUUCAGUGACAGCAGCAGUCCCUUUGGCAAGAUGCUAAAACAGAAGCUCCCUCAGAAAGUAUUAGCAAUAUGACCAUGCAUGUGAGGGGAUACUACAUGGCCCCAGUGGAUAGAGGACUGGACUGGACUAGACUGAGACUCAAGAGACCUGUCCAAGCUCUGCCACUGGCCUGCUGAGUGACCUUAGGUGAGCCAUUUGCCUCGCUCCGUGCCUCGGUUUCUCCAUCAUAAAAAUGGGGAUAAUGAUACUGAUGUCUUUUGUAAGCGCUUUGAGAUCUAAUGAUGAAAAUUGCUGUAUGAGAACUAGGUGUUUCUUGCUAUUGAUGAACCAGUAUUUAUUUUUACCAUUUCUUAAACACUUUAUUGAAAUAAGACUAAAUGAUAGUUUCAGUCAUCUUGGGGGGAUGCUACAUUGCCCUCACUAGAAACAGAAGGCGACGGUUAAAUCGGUCCAGCUACAUACCACAUCACUGUGGGAGCUGAGCACCUCUGCUGUUCUGUAUGGGCUGAUCCAAGUGUCCUGAACUGAUGCACUACUUACUGACUGGCCUUUUUGUGGACUCUGUAAAGAUUCUGUCUCUCUUACCCUCAGAGUUGGGCCUCUAUGCAGCAAGAUUUUAUUUUUAUUUCUAAACAUUAAGCAUUAGCUGGGUUUAGAAGAUCAUAAUCAUCAAGUAGCAUUUCAGGCAGAGCAGCUUGGUUUGCUCUAUCCCCCAUAUGUGUUCCAAAGCUCCUUCUGAAAAAAACAUUAACCCUGUCUCCGCUGCUAGCAACUGCAGUCUCUCAGCUGCAACAGAAUAUCUGCAUUUCAGAAGAGAUAUGUCACAUGGGGCAGCAGUUUGCCCCAUGUGACAUAGCCCUAUUGAAGGGCUUAGUCCAAUAAACUCAUCUAGACAAGGGAUACUCACCUGAGUAAGGAUUUGCAGGACUGGGGCUUUCUUAGGCAGAUGUAAUGUAGUUAGUUACAAUUCUUCCAAUCAAACGUUAAAUUAUCUUUGGAAUUAGUGUAAUAGAUUUUAUUUUUUUAAGCAUGAGACUAAAUGUGAUCUUCUGAAGUUUUGAAAAAGUCAUGGUUUUCACUGUCGUUUGCAUGAGCCCCCCAUUAGUAAUGUCUGCGUUGAUUUAAAAAAAGUUUUAAUUUUUUUUCUGUAAUAUGCGUAGUCUCAGGAAAUGUACAAAGAGCUUAACCUAUUGAUCAAACUGUACAGUAAAUCAAAUUGAUUACACUAUGCUAUCCUGCUUAGGUCAGAUUGUAUUAAUUUUAGUCCAGAGAAACUAGACAAAUUUUCAAUGUUGAAAGUAUUUGUUCUUCCGUGGAGAAUGUAUUUUUUUUAACCCUCCCCAACAUUUUAGAGAUGUUUGGAUAUGAGAAUUUAGUUUGGAUCUAACUCUAGUUAAAAUACGAUCAAACAAUUUUAGUGUAAUUUGGUGCAUAAUUCGGCAUCCUCUAGAACAGAGUAAAAUGUGAUGCUGAGAAAUCUGGGGCCCUGCCAGUCAUGACAAACGUACAAGUGCUCAAACACAACCAACUAAAUUCCUCUCUCUGAAUAUGAUCCUGCUCCCACUGAAUUCUGGCAAAAAUGCCAUCAUUUUGAAGCCAGUGGCAGCAGGGUGAGAUCCUUGUUUGCUGGGUUCCAAACUGAAUUAUUAUCCAUGCAGAAAAUAAAAUGGGUUUUACAUAGAUGUAAGACUCCUCUUUCACCAGCUUUUUCUAGCUACUGAGAGGGUCCACUGCAGAAACUGUUGGUCUCUGGGAAGCAACUCUUUGCCCUACAAGGAUUAUCUGCAGCUCUGACCUCAGAACUCCAGACUAGUUCCUGAAAGUGAAAGGCUGUGACUUCCACUGGCCAAGAGCACAAGCAGAAUAAGAACACUGGCACCUAAGGACUUGUUUAAACACUGGAACUGAAAAAGCAACACUGCUGUGUGGAUCAGAGUGGAGGGUUUUUUUAACAAAUCUGAAAUAUCCCAAGGACCCAGCUACUGAAAUGCCUUGGAAGUCAUAAGCCAGGUUCUAAAAAUCAACACAGAUUGCGACCAAAGGCCGAUACAAGAGUGCUGAAAUAGGAGUUACUGUAUCGUUUGCUGUGGAGGCCCAGUCCCGGUGAGUAGCCUCGAUGGUGAAUCCUGAAUGAGCUGACGCCAGGAGACCAACUAGAGAGGAAGUCCAGCAAAUGGGGAAUUGUAAACUUGGGAAGGAGAUUUGGAAGGCGUGUGCAGUGCAGUGAUGCAAUAGUUGGCCACAGCAAACAGCAUGGAAAACAUUUUUAUGUGCUCAAAGAUUGUGUAAUGAAAUUAUAUUGCUUUUUCUUGACUGCUAUUUGAGGUCAUUGUAUAAACAAGGGGUAUCCUGACAAUGUGAGGGAGAAAAAUGGGUGACAAUUAAUUUAGAACAUCUGCUUUGCUCCAAAGACUUACUCAUUCCUAUUUUAAAGAAUAUAAAUGGUAAUCUGAGAAACAGACUAUAGUGACAUGGCCUGGAUUAUUUUUACAAGGGAUUACAAUUAGAGAUUGUCUUGAGACACUAAGUCUGGAGCUGGAUCCAAACCUGCACAAA